rnacentral:rRNA from 1 species
AGAAUGAACGUUGGCGGCGUGGAUUAGGCAUGCAAGUCGUACGGGCCGCAAGGCCAGUGGCGCAAGGGUGAGUAAGGCGACGGUAACCAACCCCAUGGUUGGGUAUAGCCGCGGGAAACCGCGGGUAAUCCCCAGCGACGCAUGGCCUCGGCAUCGAGGCCCUGCCAAAGCUCAGGCGCCGUGGGACGGGCCGUCGUGGUAUUAGGUAGUUGGCGGGGUAACGGCCCACCAAGCCUGCGAUGCCUACCGGGCGUGCGAGCGUGGCCCGGCACACUGGGACUGAGACACUGCCCAGACUCCUACGGGAGGCUGCAGUCGAGAAUCUUCGGCAAUGGGCGCAAGCCUGACCGAGCGACGCCGCGUGGAGGAUGAAGGCCUUCGGGUUGUAAACUCCUGUCGAGGGGGAAGAAGGGUCGAAAGACCUUGACUGAUCCCUGGAGGAGCACGGGCUAAGUUCGUGCCAGCAGCCGC